CCUGCUGGUAUACUACAAGCUCCAUAUUAUGACAAGCGAUAUCCAAAGUAUUGUAACUAUGGUAGCAUUGGUGGUGCAGUUGGACAUGAACUAGUACAUGCCUUUGAUAAUUCAGGGCGAAUGUAUGACAAGAAAGGCAACUAUGGCACACCAUGGUGGACCAAAAAAAUCUAUUGAUGGAUUUGAAAAGAAAGCAGACUGUCUUAUUAAACAGUAUUCAAAAUUCAGCUACUUUGGAAAACAUGUUAAUGGGAAGUAUACUCUUGGUAAAAAUAUUGCUGACAAUGGUGGACUUAAAGCAGCUUACU